rnacentral:lncRNA from 1 species
UCUUUCUUUCUUUCUCUCUCUCUUUCUGUCUCUCUGUCUCUCUCUCUCUCUUUCGCUCUCUCUUUGUCUCUCUGGCUCUCUCUCUCUUUCCCCUCCUCCUUUCUAGGCAGUCCACCCAUCCCUCUGUCCAUCCCUCCCUCCGUCCAUCCAUCUGUCUGUGGUGUCAGAACAGAUAUUAGCUCAAGACAAGGAUUUAUUUCCCGUGAGUGUAGUUUUGAUCUGCCAGUGCGUUGAAUCCUGGAGGAGACAUGAGAACCACGAUAUACAGGACCAACCAGAGUCCCAAGUCCCAACCCAUCUCCUGGAUCAGCUUGGAGAGGAUAAGGCUGGAAGGAAAGCAUGCACUGGACUGGACCGGACCGUGGGCUGGGUGCCACAGACGCUUGACUACAACGGAAGACGACGAGUGGCUGCCAAACAUACAAUUCAACCAACAGAUGAGCAACAGACUUGAACAAUCCUCCAGCAGCACAGACAUUAUCUCUGGGACUGUUGCUGAGUUCAUAACAAAGUGGGAAGGUGAUAUUUACCACCUACGACUGGGAAAAAUCCACUUCAACUGCCACUAUAAACAGGUGAUUUUUAAACUGAUCAUUUAAAAUAAAUUAACAGGGCAACUACCCAUCUGUGCAUGCACGUGCUGGUAGUCCUCUGUCACUGACCUGCCAGGGGUCAAUAAUGUCUACAAAUGGGACGUGGAGGUCAUUACUUGGAAAUAACUUUUUUUUUUCCCAUGCACAUUGCUAUUGAGGGCUUCCAGCAUUUUAAAGUAUUCAACUGGGUGAGGAUUCCUAUGGGUUGAGAGCAAUAAGCAAAUCUGAGUAUUACCUUAAUUGGUUUGUAAAUGGCUUUAUGAUGUUACCGCCAUCUACAAAAUAAAUGAAGCCACUGAGUUCUUCAGUAAGGUCAAUGUUUGUCUAUGGCGGUUGCAUGACUGUGUGCUCGAUUUUUAUACACCUGUCAGCGACGGGUGUGACUGAAAUAGCUGACUCCACUAAUUUGAAGCAUUGCCCACAUACCUUUGUAUAUGUAGUCUAUCUACUGUCCACAAUACAUGAGCAACAAAAUAUUUAGUUCGUCAGUCACCAAUAUUAGCUUUACACUUUUCAAACAUCAAAAGAAGAAAAUGGACUACUUUAAAAUGGAGAUACAACAUUAUCUCUAUGGCAAGGGAGAGUAGACAGGACAUACUGGGAUACAAAACCUUACUGCUGUUGAUGUGUUAGUGGGGCUCACUGUUGCUUGACUCAAGGUGAUUGUACACUAACAGGUCCACCAUGUCGUUGGCUGCUUCUCUAUAUUGUGGAUAGUAAGUCAACUAUGAGACACAUGCCAGAGGGCCGUCUGUUUGAUACCUCCCAUAUUAAAGCUUUCAUGGUGCUGUUGAAAAAGAAAAACGCCUGUUUCCUUCCUCUUCUGUAGAAUGAAACAUAUGAGAACUCUCCAUGCCUUACUCUGUAAUUACUUCCAACAUUCAGUGGAGAAUCACUGGCUUUCAGCCCACUACAGAGACUACACACUUUGAAUCAGCCUAUAUCAACCCCGAUUGAACCAUGUACUUUAAUUCCCAUCCGUUUUUCAAUACAGAGGUUACACGCCCACACACACAGUUCACUCGAGUACAGGCUUCACUGAGUAAACAACAAAGAUGGAACGCAAUCUAAGAUGUGACGGCAAGUAGCCCUUUUUAUCCAAAUAAUAUACGUUAUCAGAGAGAAAUGGCACAACGAAGCAACAAUUGGAUGAUAAGUUUAAAAACAAUGAAUUUGAUGUAAAAGAGAUGGAACAAAACAAAAGUGAGAUUAUGCUGUAAUGGAAAGUGUUAUAUGAAAUAUGUCAAAGCAAGGUGAGCCGAUAAAAUACCACGUACGCUUUAAUGUGAUUUGUACGAUUAAAAAGUCAUGACUAGUUGAGAUAAUGGAGGCCGAUGAAGACAGUAUUCUGAUUGGCUUCUCUCUACUAUGAAUCCUGUGUUAGAAUCAGACUACUCUACUACUGACACACACACAGUCAUCUGGACAUCUCACGUUCUACUCAACGACCUGUGUGUGUGUGUGUGUGUGUGUAUGCACUACCAUCCCCAGUUCUUCCUCAGAAUACUCUGAGUCAAGAUAGUGAUAGUUUCCUUUCAUAUCCUCUAUAAAACAUUUACGCUGGCCAGCUGUGUGUGUGUGUGUAUUGAAGUUCGGAGUGAUCAUAUUGGGGUACACAGGGCUGGCCCAUAGCAGACGGUUCCCUGGGAGAGUUAUAAUUGGUUCAGCAUCAGUGGAAAGAAAAAGGGAAAGGGUUGGGGGUUAACUGCUCAAAGGCACAGGAGAGGAAUGUUCAUCAUUCCCAGCUGCUCUCCCCUUCUUCACUACAGUCAGCAUCAGGGAUUUGAGAUAAAGUCCUCUUACCUGGGUGAAAAAAGAUAGAGAAUGGCUUUCUAUGUCUUUGUACAGAGGUCAAUGAUUGUAUUCUUGCAUGGCUGUAAAACUGUAUUGCUCUGUGAUACUGUCUAAUACACACACACACACACACACACACAAUGUAGCGAAUAUUAGGAGGAUAUCUGAAACAUGGCUUGAACCAACGAUCUUGCAGCUACAGGACAAUCACACUACUGGAACUAAAAUGCACCAUUAAAUCCAUUAUUAAAAAUGGAAAGAAUAAUGCACCACAACAAAGCUGCCAAGAAACGGCCGCCCACCAAAACUCACGGACAAGGCAAGGAGGGAAUUAAUCAGAGAGGUAACAAAGAGACCAAAGAUAACCCUGCUGCAAAGCUCCACAGCUGUAAUAUAUCCUGUGUGUAGCUGGUGUAGAGGAGUCAGGCGCAGGACAGCAGAUGUGAGUAAGAAACGUACUUUACUCAAAAUAUCACAAAUACAACGCAAAUAAACGAGCCCACAAUAACGAACCGAAUUACAUACCAACAAUCACUCACAAACAAACAUGGGGGAACAGAGGGUUAAAUAAUGAACACGUAAUUGGGGGAUUGAAACCAGGUGUGUAAAACAAAGACAAACAAAUGGAAAAUAAAUAGUGGAUUGGCGAUGGCUAGAAGGCCGGUGACGUCGACUGCCGAACGCCGCCCAAACAAGGAGAGGGACCAACUUCGGCGGAAUUCGUGACAACAGCAGAGAUUGGAGUAUCUGUCCAUAGGACCAAUUUAAGCCGUACACUCCACAGAGCUAGGCUUCAUGGAAGAGUUGCCAGAAAAAAAGCCAUUGCUUAAGAAAGAAAUAAGCAAACACAUUUGGUGUUCGCCAAAAGGCAUGUGGGAGACUCCCCAAACAUAUGGAAGAAGUUACUCUGGUCAGAUGAGACUAAACUUGAGCUUUUUGGCCAUCAAGGAAAACACUCUUUCUGGCGCAAACCCAAAAACUCUCAUCACCCGAGAGCAUCAUCCCCACAGUGAAGCAUGGUGGUGGCAGCAUCAUGCUGUGGGGAUGUUUUUCAUCGGCAGGGACUGGGAAACUGGUCAGAAUUGAAGGAAUGAUGGAUGGCGCUAAAUGCAGGGAAAUUCUUGAUGGAAACCUGUUUCAGUUUUCCAGAGAUUUGAGACUGGGAUGCAUAUUCACCUUCCAGCAGGACAAUGGCCCCAAGCAUACUGCUGAAACAACACUCAAGUGGUUUAAGGGGAAACAUUUAAAUGUCUUGGAAUGGCCUAUUCAAAGCCCAGACGUCAAUCCAAUUGAAAAUCUGUGCAAUGACUUAAAAUUGCUGUACAUCAGAGAAUCCAUCCAACUUGAAGGAGCUGGAGCAGUUUUGCCUUGAAGUAUGAGUUGAAAUCCCAGUGGCUAGAUGUGUCAAGCUUAUAGAGACAUACCCCAAGAGAAAUGCAGCUGUAAUUGCUGCAAAAGGUAGCUCUACAAAGUAUUGACUUUGGGGGGUGAAUAGUUAUGCACGUUCAAGUUUACAGUUUUUUUGUCUUAUUUCUUGUUUAUUUCACAAUAAAACAUAUUUUCCAUCUUCAAAGUGGUAGGCAUGUUGUGUAAAUCAAAUUAUACCAACCCCCCAAAAAUUCAUUUUAAUUCCAGGUUGUAAGGCAAGAAAAUAGGAAAAAUUCUGAAGGGGGUGAAAACUUUCGCAAGCCACUGUACUUUGAAGAAUCUCAAAUAUAAAAUACAUUUGGAUUUGUUUAACACCUUUUUUUGGUUACUACAUGAUUCUAUAUGUGUUAUUUCGUAGUUUUGAUGUUGUCACUAUUAUUCCACAAUGUAGAAAAUAGUAAAAAUAAAGAAAAACCCUGGAAUGAGUAGAUGUGUCCAAACUUUUGACUGAUACUGUGUGUAUGUGUACAUAUAUAUAUAUAUAUACAUACAUACUGUAUAUAUAUAUAUAUAUAUAAUACAUGUA